AGCAACUUAGAGGAUAAUACUUGGUAACACAGCGCCCUUUGGAGGCGUUAUUCUUGGUUCGAAUCCAAGCGGGGUAGCCA
rnacentral:tRNA from 1 species